GACGAACGCUGGCGGCGCGCCUAACACAUGCAAGUCGAACGAGCGAGAGAGAGCUUGCUUUCUCGAGCGAGUGGCGAACGGGUGAGUAACGCGUGAGGAACCUGCCUCAAAGAGGGGGACAACAGUUGGAAACGACUGCUAAUACCGCAUAAGCCCACGGGUCGGCAUCGACCAGAGGGAAAAGGAGUAAUCCGCUUUGAGAUGGCCUCGCGUCCGAUUAGCUAGUUGGUGAGGUAACGGCCCACCAAGGCAACGAUCGGUAGCCGGACUGAGAGGUUGAACGGCCACAUUGGGACUGAGACACGGCCCAGACUCCUACGGGAGGCAGCAGUGGGGAAUAUUGCACAAUGGGGGAAACCCUGAUGCAGCGACGCCGCGUGGAGGAAGAAGGUCUUCGGAUUGUAAACUCCUGUUGUUGAGGAAGAUAAUGACGGUACUC
rnacentral:rRNA from 1 species